rnacentral:rRNA from 1 species
GACGAACGCUGGCGGUGUGCUUAACACAUGCAAGUCGAACGGUAAGGCCCUUUCGGGGGUACACGAGUGGCGAACGGGUGAGUAACACGUGAGUAACCUGCCCUCAUCUCUGGGAUAACAGUCGGAAACGGUUGCUAAUACUGGAUAUGAGCUUGCAAGGCAUCUUGUGGGUUGGAAAGAUUUUUUUUGGUUGGGGAUGGACUCGCGGCCUAUCAGCUUGUUGGUGAGGUAGUGGCUCACCAAGGCUUCGACGGGUAGCCGGCCUGAGAGGGCGACCGGCCACAUUGGGACUGAGAGACGGCCCAAACUCCUACGGGGGGCAGCAGUGGGGAAUAUUGCACAAUGGACGGAAGUCUGAUGCAGCAACGCCGCGUGCGGGAUGACGGCCUUCGGGUUGUAAACCGCUUUCAAUUGUGACGAAGCUUUUUUGUGACGGUAGCAGUAGAAGAAGCACCGGCUAACUACGUG